GACGAACGCUGGCGGCGUGCCUAAUACAUGCAAGUCGAGCGCUGACGGCUGGUACUUGUACCGACUGGAUGAGCAGCGAACGGGUGAGUAACGCGUGGGGAAUCUGCCUUUGAGCGGGGGACAACAUUCGGAAACGAAUGCUAAUACCGCAUAAAAACUUUAACCACAAGGUUUAAGGUUGAAAGAUGCAAUUGCAUCACUCAAAGAUGAUCCCGCGGUGUCUUAGCUAGUUGGUGAGGGAAAAGGUCACCAAGGGGAUGAUACAUAGCCGGCCUGAGAGGGGUGUCGGCCCACUUGGGGCUGGGACACCGCCCCAACUCCUUCGGGGGGCAGCCGUAGGGAAUCUUCGGGCAUGGACGGAAGUCUUACCGGGCAACGCCGCGGGAGGGGAGGAAGGUUUCGGAUCGGAAAACUCUUUUGGUUGGGAAGAACGAUGGUGAGAGUGGAAAGUUCGUGCAGUGACGGUAACUACCCAGAAAGGGACGGCUAACUACGUG
rnacentral:rRNA from 1 species